rnacentral:lncRNA from 1 species
ACAUCCGUUGGUCUCCUAUGAAGAGAUGAAACUCACUAAUUUCAUUAAAAGAUGCAUGAAUUAUUCAAGAGACGGAUGGCCAUCCAACUAUACUGUCAACUAUUCAAGCAAUAAAUAUAAUUACCAUAUCCUUGAGAUGGAAUGUAACCGUAUCAUCUCAAAUAAACUCCCAAUGAGCAUAGCUGGUGUAGGUGUGACCCA